rnacentral:sRNA from 1 species
CAGACGAUGCACUGUCUCAGGUCACUCUUAGCCUCCUACGGGGGCAUGACAGAAGGAGAGGAACAUUUAGAGAGGCACAGCUCCUACAUCCUUGGAUGGGGAGAGUGGGGAGCAAACAGGCCAGUUCACACUUCUUUCCUCUGUGAAGCCUUCCUUCUCCCAGCAUUCCCUCCUCUCACCCUACUGUGUUGUGGCCACCACUCUGCCUGGGACUACAGCCAUUUGUCCUUCUGCCUCUCCUCUGCCUGGGACUACAGCCAUUUGUCCUUCUGCCUCUCCUCUGCCUGAGAGCAAGGUGAGAGGAUCCCGUUCCUGUUCUCCAUCUCCUGCC